rnacentral:rRNA from 1 species
UACGAAGGGGGCUAGCGUUGCUCGGAAUCACUGGGCGUAAAGCGCACGUAGGCGGCUCUUUAAGUCAGGGGUGAAAUCCUGGAGCUCAACUCCAGAACUGCCUUUGAUACUGAGAAGCUUGAGUCCGGGAGAGGUGAGUGGAACUGCGAGUGUAGAGGUGAAAUUCGUAGAUAUUCGCAAGAACACCAGUGGCGAAGGCGGCUCACUGGCCCGGUACUGACGCUGAGGUGCGAAAGCGUGGGGAGCAAACAGG